UUGAAAGGGAAACGAUUGAAGUCAGUCGUACUUGCGGGCAAUCAGCCUUUUGGGUGUGAUUAUGUGGGGCGUGAGGAGUUAAUCACCCUCAUCUUUGCAUAUUCGUGCACUUUGGGUGUACUUGCUCGUCUGGUAGGUUAACAUCAAUUUUGGUCAUCAUAAAAUGGCUGGAGGAAUGUAGCUUCGAUCUCGUAUUGAAGUGUUAUAGCCUUUGGUAGACGUGAUGAUUGGGAUUGAGGAUUGCAACGGAAAUCCUUCGGGCUACCUGUCUGAUCUCUGGAAGUUGCUCUGGUGCUGAAAGCUUGCUUAUGGUAUCAAAGUUGACGUCUAAUAGGUUAGAACGGGAUAAAUUCGUUAAGGAUGUUGACGUA
rnacentral:rRNA from 1 species